CACGGGGGGAGCAAGCGUUGUUCGGAAUCACUGGGCGUAAAGGGAGUCUAGGCGGUCAGAUAAGUGGGAUGUGAAAUCCCUCGGCUUACCCGAGGACCUGCAUCCCAAACUGUCUGGCUUGAGUAUGGGAGAGGAUGAGGGAAUUCCUGGUGUAGCGGUGAAAUGCGUAGAUAUCAGGAGGAACACCGGUGGCGAAGGCGGUUCUCUGGGCAUUACCUGACGCUGAGGAGCGAAAGCAUGGGGAGCGAACAGG
rnacentral:rRNA from 1 species